GACGAACGCUGGCGGCGUGCUUAACACAUGCAAGUCGAACGGUAAGGCCCUUCGGGGUACACGAGUGGCGAACGGGUGAGUAACACGUGGGUGAUCUGCCCUGCACUUCGGGAUAAGCCUGGGAAACUGGGUCUAAUACCGGAUAGGACCACUGCCUGCAUGGGUGGUGGUGGAAAGCUUUUGCGGUGUGGGAUGGGCCCGCGGCCUAUCAGCUUGUGGGGGGGGUGAUGGCCUACCAAGGCGACGACGGGUAGCCGGCCUGGGAGGGUGACCGGCCACGCUGGGACUGAGAUACGGCCCAGACUCCUACGGGAGGCAGCAGUGGGGAAUAUUGCACAAUGGGCGCAAGCCUGAUGAAGCGACGCCGCGUGAGGGAUGACGGCCUUCGGGUUGUAAACCUCUUUCAGCACCGACGAAGCGCAAGUGACGGUAGGUGCAGAAGAAGGACCGGCCAACUACGUGCCAGCAGCCGCCGCCG
rnacentral:rRNA from 1 species